rnacentral:rRNA from 1 species
UACGUAGGGUGCAAGCGUUUGUCCGGAAUUAUUGGGCGUAAAGAGCUACGUAGGCGGUUUGUUGCGUCGGCUGUGAAAUCCCGAGGCCUCAACCUCGGGUCGUGCAGUCGAUACGAGCAAACUAGAGUGUUGCAGGGGAGACUGGAAUUCCGUGGUGUAGCGGUGAAAUGCGCAGAUAUCAGGAGGAACACCGGUGGCGAAGGCGGGUCUCUGGGCAACAACUGACGCUGGAGGAGCGAAAGCAUGGGGAGCGAACAGG